CCCGGGCCUUGUACACACCGCCCGUCACACCAUGGGAGUUGGUUUUACCUUAAGACGGUGUGCUAACCCGCAAGGGAGGCAGCCGGCCACGGUAAGGUCAGCGACUGGGGUG
rnacentral:rRNA from 1 species